CCCUGUACUCUGGGAUAAGCCUUGGAAACGAGGUCUAAUACCGGAUACGACCACUGGACGCAUGUCUGGGGGUGGAAAGUUCCGGCGGUAUGGGAUGGACCCGCGGCCUAUCAGCUUGUUGGUGGGGUAAUGGCCUACCAAGGCGACGACGGGUAGCCGGCCUGAGAGGGUGAUCGGCCACACUGGGACUGAGACACGGCCCAGACUCCUACGGGAGGCAGCAGUGGGGAAUAUUGCACAAUGGGCGAAAGCCUGAUGCAGCGACGCCGCGUGAGGGAUGACGGCCUUCGGGUUGUAAACCUCUUUCAGCAGGGACGAAGCGCAAGUGACGGUACCUGCAGAAGAAGCACCGGCUAACUACGUGCCAGCAGCCGCGGUAAUACGUAGGGUGCGAGCGUUGUCCGGAAUUAUUGGGCGUAAAGAGCUCGUAGGCGGUUUGUCGCGUCGGCCGUGCAAAACUUGGGGCUUAACCCCAAGCUUGCGGUCGAUACGGGCAGACUUGAGUUCGGCAGGGGAGACUGGAAUUCCUGGUGUAGCGGUGAAAUGCGCAGAUAUCAGGAGGGAACACCGGUGGCGAAGGCGGGUCUCUGGGCCUAUACUGACGCUGAGGAGCGAAAGCCGGGGGGAGCGAACAGGAU
rnacentral:rRNA from 1 species